AUUGAACGCUGGCGGCAGGCCUAACACAUGCAAGUCGAGCGAGCGGCGGACGGGUGAGUAAUGUAUGGGGACUGCCCGAUAGAGGGGGAUAACUACUGGAAACGUUGGCUAAUACCGCAUGCUAUCGCUUAACCCAUAUGGGAUUAGCUAGUAGGUGAGGUAAUGGCUCACCUAGGCAACGAUCUCUAGCUGUUCUGAGAGGAUGAUCAGCAACACUGGGACGGAGAAACGGCCCAGACGCGUACGGAGGCAGAAGUGGGGAAUAUUGCACAAUGGGCGCAAGCCGGAUGAAGCCAUGCCGCGUGGAUGAAGAAGGCCUUAGGGUUGUAAAGUACGUUCAGCGGGGAGGCGUUACCCGAAGAAGAAGCACCGGCUAACUACGUGCCAGCAGCCGCGGUAAUAC
rnacentral:rRNA from 1 species